UAUGCNUAGCCAUAAACAUAAAAAUUUCACARCAAAAAUUCUCGCCCGAGAACUACUAGCCACAGCUUAAAACUCAAAGGACUUGGCGGUGCUUUAUAUCCACCUAGAGGAGCCUGUUCUAUAAUCGAUAAACCCCGAUAUACCUCACCACUUCUUGCUAAUUCAGCCUAUAUACCGCCAUCUUCAGCAAACCCUAUUAUGGAGCAACAGUAAGCCUAAUUAUACACCAUAAAAACGUUAGGUCAAGGUGUAGCCCAUGAAGUGGGAAGAAAUGGGCUACAUUUUCUUACCAAAGAACAUUUACGCCAACCCCUGUGAAAACCAGGGGUCUAAGGAGGAUUUAGUAGUAAAUUAAGAAUAGAGAGCUUAAUUGAACUAGGCCAUGAAGCACGUACACACCGCCCGUCACCCUCCUCAAGUGCCCAAAUUCACAAAGAACAACAACACAAGAGGAGAUAAGUCGUAACAAGGUAAGUAUACUGGAAAGUGUACUUGGAAACC
rnacentral:rRNA from 1 species